rnacentral:rRNA from 1 species
GAUGAACGCUGGCGGCGUGCCUAAUACAUGCAAGUCGAGCGAACAGACGAGGAGCUUGCUCCUCUGACGUUAGCGGCGGACGGGUGAGUAACACGUGGAUAACCUACCUAUAAGACUGGGAUAACUUCGGGAAACCGGAGCUAAUACCGGAUAAUAUAUUGAACCGCAUGGUUCAAUAGUGAAAGACGGUUUUGCUGUCACUUAUAGAUGGAUCCGCGCCGCAUUAGCUAGUUGGUAAGGUAACGGCUUACCAAGGCAACGAUGCGUAGCCGACCUGAGAGGGUGAUCGGCCACCCUGGAACUGAGCCACGGUCCAGACUCCUACGGGAGGCAGCAGUAGGGAAUCUUCCGCAAUGGGCGAAAGCCUGACGGAGCAACGCCGAGUGAGUGAUGAAGGUCUUCGGAUCGUAAAACUCUGUUAUUAGGGAAGAACAAAUGUGUAAGUAAAUAUGCACGUCUUGACGGUACCUAAUCAGAAAGCCACGGCUAACUACGUG